rnacentral:miRNA from 1 species
UGGGCUAGGGGAGAUGACUGGGUAGAAAGCAUUCUAUUCAUUUGCCUCCCAGCCUACA